rnacentral:rRNA from 1 species
AUUGAACGCUGGUGGCAGGCCUAACACAUGCAAGUCGAACGAGUGGCGGACGGGUGAGUAAUGUCUGGGAAACUGCACGAUGGAGGGGGAUAACUACUGGAAACGGUAGCUAAUACCGCGUACCAUAGGAUGUGCCCAGAGGGGAUUAGCUUGUAGGUGUGGUACCGGCUCACCUAGGCGACGAUCCCUAGCUGGUCUGAGAGGAUGACCAUCCACACGGGAACUGCGACACGGUCCAGACUCCUACGGUAGGCGACAGAGGGGAAGAUUGCACAAUGGGCGCAAGCCUGAUGCAGCCAUUCCGCGUGUAUUAAGAAGGCCUUCGGUUUGUAAAGUACUUUCAGCGGGGAGGCGUUACCCGCAUAAGAAGCGACGGCUAACUCCGUGCCAGCAGCCGCGGUAAUAC